rnacentral:rRNA from 1 species
CCGUAGCCCAAGAGAUCGGGAUAACACCUGGAAACAGAUGCUAAUACCUGAUAACAACAGAUGAUGCCUAUCAACUGUUUAAAAGAUGGUUCUGCUAUCACUCUUGGAUGGACCUGCGGUGCAUUAGCUAGUUGGUAGGGUAACGGCCUACCAAGGCGAUGAUGCAUAGCCGAGUUGAGAGACUGAUCGGCCACAUUGGGACUGAGACACGGCCCAAACCUCCGUACGGGGAGGCAGCAGAU